AACGAACGCUGGCGGCAUGCCUAACACAUGCAAGUCGAACGAGACCUUCGGGUCUAGUGGCGCACGGGUGCGUAACGCGUGGGAACCUGCCCUUAGGUUCGGAAUAACUCCCCGAAAGGGGUGCUAAUACCGGAUAAUGUCUUCGGACCAAAGAUUUAUCGCCUUUGGAUGGGCCCGCGUUGGAUUAGCUAGUUGGUAGGGUAAAAGCCUACCAAGGCGACGAUCCAUAGCUGGUCUGAGAGGAUGAUCAGCCACACUGGGACUGCGACACGGCCCAGACUCCUACGGGAGGCAGCAGUGGGGAAUAUUGGACAAUGGGCGAAAGCGUGAUCCAGCAAUGCCGCGUGAGUGAUGAAGGCCUUAGUGUUGUAAAGCUCUUUUACCCGGGAUGAUAAUGACAGUACCGGGAGAAUAAGCUCCGGCUAACUCCGUG
rnacentral:rRNA from 1 species